rnacentral:lncRNA from 1 species
GUGUACACCUUUUGGGGGGCCACCACUCAGCCCACUGGCGUGCGUGACAGCAAGUACCUGGGAAAGGUGAGGAAACAGAGUCUCCCCUGGGCCUGCAGAAGGAGCACAGCCCCGCCUGCCUCCAUCUUAGCCGGCUGAGACCCAGGCUAUAUUCUCAGGAACAAUCUUCUGGUACCACCUGCUCUUCUAGAAUGUGACCUUGCCACUUCCCCAUGCGCUUGGACCAGGCAGACCUGCUCCUGUUUCAGCCAACACAGUAUGGUGAAAGUUAUCUGGGUGAUUUUCAAGGCUGUCAGAAAAGGCCAUGCAGCUCCCAAUUGAUUUUCCUGAGGCCUUGACAGCAGAGUGAGAUGUCCUUUGUCAUGCCGGAGGGUCCACAGGGAGGUGCUGAUGGACAUCACUGUUGUUUCCCAGAAGCCAUCAGCUCUGUGAGGGAGUCACCGCUUGCCCUCAGGACCAGCCUUCUGCCAACCGAGUUCCAGGCGUGGUAUCAGCAUCCAAGAGGAGCAAUGGAGCAGCCAGCUGAUUCUGCCAGACUCCUGAGCUUCUGGAUCCAUGAGCAUAGUAAAAUGCUUGCUGUCUGACACCACUAAGUUUGAGGUAAUUUGUUACACAGCAGCAAGAACUGAAAAUGUUUGCUCAUGAAAUUAGCAAAAGGUUUUAAAAUAAUGAUAUUUAGCCUUCAUUGGAGUGCACAUUGCAUCCGUUCAGCCUUGAUGAAAAAUAACUUCAUAAUGCAUUAAGGGUCUUAAAACCUCCAGACUUUUUGACUCUGUGGCACUAUCCCAAGGAUAUGAUCAAAUAAUGUGUACAUUAUUAAUGCCUAUAUUAUUUAUGAUAAUGGUAGUGGCAUAUAAACUCUUCAACAUUAAGUAAAUUAUUCAACAAUUUUAUUCAAUUAAGUCAUAAACUUAUUAAUUUGUACUAUUUAAGAGUUUUUAAUAGCAUGGGUGUGAAUGACUGUCCAACCAUGAAACAGAAGCUACUCCAUGUAUUUGAACACAGUUAAGACACAGGGAAAUUUAUAGAGAAUUAGUUUCACUGGUAACGUAAGAAGUGAGAAGCCAAGCAGGGGAUGCAGAGCUCAGCAACCUCACGCUGAAGUGACAUAGGAAAGAGUCCCUGUCACCAGCACCCAGGAUUGGGGUUACCUAGCAAAAAUCAGGAACACAGCAGGCCUGUCAGAAGGAUUUGCAGGCACAGAGGGCACUCUCACAUGGCAGGUUUUGCCAUCUGUGACAGCAACAGAGAAAGGAGACAUGGCCUGGAUUCUCUCAGCCCUUAUCCUCCAUUCAAACUCACCUAGAAUCUUACUGACCUAGGAGACAAGCAAGCACGGGACUCAAAAUAAGCCCUCAGAGGUGCAUAGCAGGGCGGCAGAAGGACAAGCAAAGUCUAAGGAAAGAAGCCUAGGACCAGCAAUACAAAGUGAAUGCAAAAAAUAGAGUGAAUGCUUGAAGGCAGGCUGUAACGCGCACACCUGGACACUUGCUUUCACGUGCCUGUAAGAUGAUUGGAGAACAGAACUCUAAAUGGUGGAUUAUUCAAAAGUGAUUUAACUCUAUGGUAACUUUAACUUUGCAAGUUUGACUUCCAAAAUCUUAACAUAAUUGUUGAUAUUGGUGAACUUUGUUUCAUAAGGCAAGAUUUCACUAGACCAAUUAAUUUUUUAUAAAUUCUCAUCACAGAAAAAAAGACAAAAUUUUAACUUAAAAAUAUAUUGUUGACACAUAAUAAUUGUAUAUAUCUAUGGGGUAAAAUGUGACAUGUUGAUACAUGCAUGCAUUGUGUAAUUAUCAACUUUAGGUAAUUAACAUAUCCAUCAGCUUAAAAUAAUCAUUUCUUUGUGAUGAGAACAUUCAAAACCUCUCUUCUAGCUAUUUUGAAAUACAUAAUGCAUUAGUUUUAACUCUAGUCAUCCUACGAUGCAAUAGAAUGACAGAACUUAUUCCUCCUUGUCAACAGUACCUUUGGACCCAUUGACUAAUCUCUUCCCCACUCCACUCUCCCCUCCCUUUCCCAUCCUCUGGUAACCACUAUUCUACUCUCUACUUCUAUGAGACCAACUUUUAGAUUCCACAUAUGAGUGGGAUCAUGCAGUGUUUGUCUUUCUGUUCCUGGAUUAUUUCACUCUCAGUAGUGGCUCUCCACUCCUAGAAGCCUCUUUCCACUCCUAGAGGUCACCCUUCACUCCUAGAGGUCGCUCUCCACACUAGAGGACACCUUCCACUCCUAGAGGUUGCCCUUCACUCCUAGAGGUCACUCUCCACUCCUACAGGCCAACUUCCACUCCUAGAGGCAACUUUUCAUUCCCAGGGAUUACCCUCCACUACCAGAGGUCACUCUCCACUUCUGAAGGCCACCCUCCACUCUUAGAGGCCAGCAUUCAUUUCUGGAGGCCACCCUCCACUCUUAGAGGCGACGCUUCACUUCUGGAGGCUACCCUCCACUCUUAGAGGCUGCUCUUCACUCUUAGAGGCCACUGUUCACUCCUGGAGGCCACUCUCCAUUCUUAGAGUCUGCCCUCCACUCCAAGAGGUUGCCCUUCACACUUUGUGGCUUUUCUCAGCUACCAAAGGCUGCCCUUAUUUCCUUGCCCCAUAACUUUCUUAGCCAUUACCAACCUCAUUGAGCCAGCAAGAAAAAUCUCCAGAAUGAGAGUUCUACAAGACAGAGUCUUAUAUAGGAAGAUAAUUGUAAGAGUGACAUCUCCUCACCUUUGCUAUAUUCUCUCGGUAGGAAGCAUGCACUCAAAGAGAGUAGAUCCUACAAAGGUGUGAACACUGGGAGCUGUGGAUCAUUCAGGGGUUGACUUAGAGUCUGUCUGUAAUAGAUCCCGUGGGUAAGAUCUACAUACACUAUUUAUGGCACAACUGUAUAGCUAAAAAGGAAAUAUGUUCAAAAUAGGUGGUCCUGAAAAUAGAAAACCAUAAGUAAGAACUUUUAAAUAUUUUGUCCCAUGGCCCAAAUGAACAUCCCUCAGAACCACAUUAACUUAGAGUUAGUUUUCAGGAGGGUAUUCUUAAUUAUAGCAGUAAUCUAAAAUAAAUAACUGGCAGAUAAAACAGAAACAAGUACCCCUCAACAAAAUCCAACAUUAUUCCUCUCUCUCUCUCUUUUUUUUUUAGACGGAGUCUUGCUCUGUAGCCCAGGCUGGAGUGCAGUGGGGCAAUCUUGGCUCACAGCAACCUCCAUCUCCCGGGUUCAAGCAAUUUUCCUGCCUCAGUCUCCUGAGCAAAUGGAAUUACAGGCACAUGCCACCACACCUGGCUAAUUUUUGUAUUUUUAGUAGAAACUGGGUUUCACCAUGUUGGCCAGGCUGGCCUCAAACUCUUGACCUCAGGUGAUCCAGGUACCUCGGCCUCCCAAAGUGCUGGGAUUUCAGGUGUGAGCCACCAUGCCUAGCCUAUUAUUUCUCUUUUGACACACAGAUAUAUUCCAAAGUAUAUGUAAGCAUCUGUAUAAUUGCUAUAACAAUUUCACAGUUAUUUAUUAUGAAGUUAAUGUUAAUUAAUUUAUUCUGCUGUACAUAUCUACAUGAUGCAUCCACGAAGGGAAGAAAAACAAUUAUCACACCAACCUUGACCACUUAUUAUUUUAAUUUUGUAAUUGAUUUUACUUUUUAAAGCAGUUGUAGACGCACAGCAAAAUUAGGAGGAAGAUGCAGAGUUCUCACGUCUCCAGCCCCACAUGUGCACAGCCUUUCCCAUCAUCAACUUCUCCCACAAAGGGGUCACAUUUGUCCCAGUCAAUGUAACACAUCAUUAUUACCCAGAGGCUGUAGUUUACAUUUGAAUUCACUCUUGGUGUUGUACAUCCUAUGGGUUUGGAGAAAUGUACAAUGCAUAAUGACAGUGUAUAAAAUCAUAUGUUGACUUUUUCUUAGGAAAAAAAAUCCGUAAAAUGAAUGUAGAAACUAAAAGGAAAUGCUUUUGACCUAGUAUUAUUAUUAUUUGCUUGCAUUCGACCCUUGAAAGAGAAAACACAAUGUCAGGAUCUUGAAAAAAAUUGGCAGCUAAGAAGGUUGUGUCCUUGGAACAGGAAGUAAACAUUUAUGAGGGACAAAAUAAAGGAUAGUUAUUUUUGUUAUUUAUACUUUAUCCCUGGAAAUCAAUCUAUCAUGUGUUUCAUUUCUUCUUUGUCUCUCCUUUUGUUUAUUUGACAAGUGUUCAUUUUUUUGCUGGUUGGUUGGUUAUUGUCAUUUUUGCUGUUAGAAUUGUAAAUGCAUACAAUUUUAAUAUUAUAUAUAUGUAUAUACAUGUAUGUGUGUGUGCGUGUGCAUGCACGUCCGUGUAUUCAAAUGUUGGUAGAGUCACCUUAAAAGAAGGGGGGUUGUGUUAUCCAAG